UAAGAGGGACAGCUACUGAAUCAUAUAAGUGUCUUAUGUGAUGUCGUAAGGGAAAAUAAUGAUAUUACCUUACUAAUAGUGUCGUCUAAAACUGGUGCCAGAAGACUCGGUAAGGCCAGAGACACAAAUGUUAAUCGUCUUAAUCAGGCGUAAAGGGUUUGUAGGCUGCUUUGAAAGUAUUGAUUUAAAAUAGCCAAAGUAAAUCAAUAUUAAUUAAAGCUAGAAUCUAAUAGAGGAUAUUUACGAAAUAAUGCUUGGUCGAGGGCUGAUAUCCGAAGACAUCAAGUGGAAUUCCAAUGGCGUAAGCAUUUAUCCAUUAAAGAUUGACGCUGAGAAACGAAGGUGAGGAUAGGAAAUAGGAUUAGAUACCCAGAUACCCCUCUCUGUCAACGAUGAAUGGUAGUUUGUUAGUUUAUUGAAACUAGUGACGAAGUUAACACGAUAACCAUUCCGCCUUGUGAGUACGACUGCAAAGUUGAAAACAAAAAAAUUAGUCGUCUCGACAGCGAG
rnacentral:rRNA from 1 species